rnacentral:rRNA from 1 species
UACAGAGGUCUCAAGCGUUGUUCGGAUUCAUUGGGCGUAAAGGGUGCGUAGGCGGCGCGGUAAGUCGGGUGUGAAAUCUCGGAGCUUAACUCCGAAACUGCAUUCGAUACUGCCGUGCUUGAGGACUGGAGAGGAGACUGGAAUUUACGGUGUAGCGGUGAAAUGCGUAGAUAUACGGAGGAACACCUGCGGCGAAGGCGGGUAGCUGGGCCAACACUGACGCUGAUGCGCGAAAGCUAGGGGAGCAAACGGG